GGCUGAGCUGACUGCAGUGGUGUUUACAAUUAAUUGAUCACAAUCAGUUACAGAUUUCUUUGUUCCUUCUUCAAUCCUCCUCUUUCACUUGACUAGCUUUAA
rnacentral:Y_RNA from 1 species